GGCAAACCGUCAGCUAAAUAAACCUUUCUUUCCUUAAUUUUGAGUGUCAGGUAUUUUAUCUCAACAGCAAGAGAAAAGUAACCAAGAUAGUUACCUAAUGGAGUUGGGAUGUAGCUCAGUGGUAGAGCACUUGUCUAAUACAAACAGACUCCUGGGUCACAUUUCCAGUACAAAAACAAAACAAAACAAACUAAACCAAACCAAACCCUGAACAUUAAAGUGAUCUAACGACUCAUUGUAUUAUCAGGAGUUGUACGGACCCCUGUCAUUCUCCUGUGUGACCUGGAUGGUGGGCAGCAAGCUGCAAGCCAGAGACUCCACAGAAUCAAAGUCUUGAUGUCGGCAAUGAGGAACCUCCUAGAGACUACAGCUCAUCCCAGAGAUGAACCUUGUUUUCCAGGCUGGUGACCUGGGGGUCCAGUGGACAGCAGCUUUUCAAUGCCUGUUGAAAUAAAGUUGGAGUUAACCCUCUCCUCCUCGCUGCUAUUGGUUACCCUUGUGUGACUCCAGGCUGACAACAGCACCAUUUGCCUUCUCAGUACAGACAACCUGGAUGUGCGUAGAACUGGUGAAUUUUUGCCUGUGCGCAAAGCAAGGAAAUAGUGAUUUCUGCACAGGUAGGUGGUGAAACAGCUCAUGUCUCUGUGUCAGUGGUGCAAAACAAACAGUGGCACUGUGCUGUGGUGACACUCUCUUACGUGUCUGUUAGGUUCAUAAAAGGAGACUAUAGAUGAUCAUGGGCAUCUUGUGCUUUUGAAGUGGCCAGCUAAGAGGAGGAAGUUUUCUGCCUUGAGUGUCAGCUCUUGGCUUUGUUGUACUGUCCACCCCCUAGAACAACUGCAAGGAUGCCUCAAAUUUUGCAAAAGUCUUAAGAUUAAAUAUAUCCGUUGCUUUCUCCUUAUUCACUGUCUGCUUAUUGCCUCUGCUGUGUAAGUCUCCACCCGAAGAGAAGAAAAGAAGAGAGAGAGAAGCGAUGGUCAGAUGAAUAAAGAAACAUAUAUGCUCAGGGAAAAGCUGGAGUAGGCUGCUGCAAAACGCAGAAGCAUCCAAUGCAAAGUUUAAGAAACUGCCCCCAAUUGUACAUCUGAAACAGGAGAGGAUGACCUAGCAAUCAAGUGAAAGAAAAACGAGUAUGGUUUCCUGGUUUAGUUUUCUAGAUUUUGGUUCAGUUAUCCUUUUGAGUUUGGAUAAACAGCAUCCCAAAAGAAAGAGGACCUUGAAUUCAGCAUAUCGGAGGGAACCACUCACCUCUCUCAGGCAGAUGAAGCUUUCCAGGAUACAUGACAUCAACUAUAAUAAAAUGACAUCUGCUGGAAAAGAAAACACCAAUCAGCAUGACUAGCUGUUGCUAAUGGAAAUCCAUUUUAUCAAUGCAAACAUAAUAUUAAAUAAAUCACAAUGCUUUGUCCAAGCAAAAA